rnacentral:rRNA from 1 species
GACGAACGCUGGCGGCGUGCCUAAUACAUGCAAGUCGAACGCAGUGGGGACGGGUGAGUAACAUGUGGGUAACCUCCCAUCAGAGGGGAUAACACUUGGAAACAGGCGCUAAACUGAUACUGAUGGAUGGACCCGCGGUGCAUUAGCUAGUUGGUGAGGUAAUGGCUUACCAAGGCUACGAUGCAUAGCCGGCCUGAGAGGGUGAUCAGCCACACUGGGACUGAGACACGGCCCAGACUCCUACGGGAGGCAGCAGUGGGGAAUCUUCGGCAAUGGGCGAAAGUCUGACCGAGCAACGCCGCGUGUAUGAAGAAGGUUUUCGGAUCGUAAAGCUCUGUUGUUAGAGAAGCGGUAUCUAACCAGAAAGCCACGGCUAACUACGUGCCAGCAGCCGCGGUAAUUC